rnacentral:rRNA from 1 species
UACGGAGGGUGCAAGCGUUAAUCGGAAUUACUGGGCGUAAAGCGUGCGUAGGUGGUUCGUUAAGUCCGUUGUGAAAGCCCCGAGCUCAACUUGGGAAUUGCAGUGGAUACUGGCGAGCUGGAGUGCGGUAGAGGAAGGUGGAAUUCCCGGUGUAGCGGUGAAAUGCGUAGAGAUCGGGAGGAACACCAAAGGCGAAGGCAGUGUCCUGGGGAGUACCUGACGCUCAGGUGCGAAAGCCAGGGGAGCGAACGGG